UAUUUAUUGUUUUUUUUCACAAGAAGUCUCUUAUGCUCACCAAGGCUGCAUUUAUUUGAUUUAAAUACAGUAAAAAAUAUAUAUAUUUUAAAAUAUUAGUACAGUUUAAAAUAACUGUUUUCUAUUUGAAUAUAUUUGAAAAUAUAAUUUAUUCCUAUGAUGCAAAGCUGGAUUUUCAGCAUUCAGCAUCAUUACUCCAGUCUUCAGGAGUAUGAUCCUAUAGUAUAGCCUAUAUAAAUAUCAUGGCUCUCACUUUCUUGGUCUUCAUCUUUAGCAAGUCCAAGCAGAUUUGACGGCCCUUGCAGUGUUUUAUUCAGCUGUUUACAGAGAGGUUCCUUCACUACUUUAGAGGUGACUCUUAAAGUGCCCUUGAAUCAUUCUGCUGUCAGAUUGGAUGCGUUAUUCUGGGCAGUGAAAGACCUAGAGCCCUAUGUCUUCAAUCUAAAGCAAUUGCAGCCCUAUUGGUUUCUGCGUUUCGACCAAGCAGUCAUUCACAUUCCCAGCAGCAGGUGAGGUGCAGACAGCUGGUCUCGCGCUCACCCUUCCCCGAGUGAAGGACUCUUCAGCUGCCGCAGAAAUCUCUCAUCCUGCUCAACAUGAGGCCGUGGUCUCACACCACCACUCCACCCAUGCAAACAAUUUACCCCUGAAUCCCAAAUCCAACAGAUCUAUUAUGGGAUUAAAGGCCUUGUUAUCAGGCUUUGUGCUGGAAUAAUAGCAGAGCGUUAGUUCAGAUUCAUAUGUUAUUUUGCUUUGUCUUUUGGAAAUGAGACAAUGUUCUUUAGUGUCUAUACAGUUCUGAUCCAGUCAUGUCAGUGUGUGCGCUGUGUCUCUAUUUUCAGGAAGUCAGCUCGACACAACAGCGUGCCGCAUCUCAAGGCUUCCUCUUCCGCAUCACUGAGCCAGAUAAAAACACUGAAUCCAGGCACCACCAACGCUGCCAUUUGCCCUCCUUUUAAAACACACACACACACACACACCUGCCAGGACGUAACGUGCAGAAGGAAGACGCGGCCGCUGCUGUCCCCACUGGAGCAGAGACGACGUGAGCCUUUGAUGUUCCACUCAAAAUUAUUAAUUCCCCGCGUCAGGUUCUGUGUUUCAUCUACAUUUAAAGUCCAAAUCUUGAGUGGCCUCGUGAAACCCUGCCCCCUAUCAAGAGCUCCAGAGUAUGGACGGAUCUACAGACAAACUCUGACGGCCUGAAAUCAAAGGCAUGUGCCUCACUCAGUGACUAAACAGGCUCGUCGUAAGGAAACAAGGCACCAUAUCGCAUCGUUAAAUGAUCUAGAACAAGUUCAGACGAGGUAACAACGGACAUACUUACUGGCUACAAUGUUAAGUAGCAGUACAAAUAGGUUGGAAAAAGUUUUUGGCCCUUUUUUUUAAUUAUUGCUGAACCACAUGCACAGGAUUGUGGGAUGUCGUAGGCGGUGAAGGAUCUAUGAGGUCUUCAAACUCCAACCAGAUGAAGGCAAGUUAGAUAGGAUGUUGUGCAAACUGUGGACUCUGACGUCGCUUGUUACCUUCCUACUAGCAUUUUUCAGUUUUUAGGCAUCGUCUGAGUGUGUCUAAAGCUCAGGGCCGUAACCACCAUAUAGACACUGUGGGGGACAAGUCCUUCCCCCCAAUAAUUAUAAAUGACAAAUUUCACAAAAUGUUACAUUUGUAGGCUGGCUUCUCUCAGUGGUCUAACCAUGCUAACCAUGAAUGAAGACUGGCUUUACUAUUCACAGAAACCUUUAAAAAGUCCCUCCCCCUAAUGUUCAAAUCACUGAGGCAUUAUAUUUACUGUAGGCUUGAAAAUGAAUAAAAGUGAAGACUAUUGUUUAGGAAACCAGGGUGACGUGAACUUCCAGAUUGACCUACAAAAACACAUAAUCACCGCAGCGCUGUAUAUCCUACUGAUCCACCACAUAUAGGGAUCUAGGGAGAGAGAAUGAGACGCAGCACAUAUGAUGUACAAUGCUUGUUUUCUCCUCUGGUGUGUCAGCACAACACCGUCCCUAGUAAAUUAUAUUGUCAUAUUUGUUUUUCAGUCUGACAGCAGUGUUGAGAGCUAAAGGAAAUGAUUUACUUAUGACUGAUCAAAUGCUACUCGCAGAAGAGCGCAACUCUGUCUCCGUCAGGCGGAGCAACACAUAAAUCACGUGACUCAUGACUUCUGGAGCAUCCGUCACGGACAGGAAGACGUCUCCAUGUGGCGUGUCUGUUUCUCUGUAUGUGUGUCUCCCAGUGGACUAAGUGCAAUAAAUCUGCCUGAGCGCUCGUAGUGGAAAGGUGAAGUCUCAGAGCCGGAGAAGCUCCGGGCGUUUCUUGCUCUCGAACAAUGUGGAGAUCAAAGAGUUCAUCUCUGACAGCUGAUGACUGGCUUCCCAUGGACGGUUCACCAAAGGAGGCUCACACCUGCAGCAGGUGAUUACAGGUAGAUCUGCCUGCCUCUAAUUGGACAAUAAACACCACUCUCCGCCUGCUAAUGGCUGCAGUCUGCCUCUCAGACGCCACUCUGCUAUUUGGCCGUUGCCAGAAGUCUCCUGUGCAUGGCCACCAUGAUGACACGCUGCAGGAGCAUUCGAAGCAAACUGCAGGAUAACUUGCCAUCUCAGCCUUUAAGACGAGCCAGAGAGAAAGAGAGCAUGAGUGAAGUCAUGAUCAUUCAUUAUCUUCCUCUCUUGUGUGGGUAUAGCUUGAAUGCAUCCUGAAGCAGUUGGGUUAGUUUUCUUCCAGCUGUAAUGCUGUUCUUUUCACAUGUUUGUAAGUGUGUUGAACAUUCUUGAAGUGACUAACACACACCACAACUUUCCUGUGACGCUCAUGCUGGAUCUUGACGGUAUGUCUCUGCUCUAAAAUGUCUAUGGAUAUGUUUGGAAUAGAUUAGUACCCAUCGUUACUUUUGAAAUGUAAUAGGCUACAGAUUACAGGUUACCCUGUUCAAAAUGUAAUAAGUUGUGUUUUUUUUGUUGUUGUUGUUGUUGUUUUUUUGUAAUGUGUAUUUUUUUUAAUCACAUGAUCACACAUAACACCUUUACAUAUAACUAGUUACUCCCCAACACUGACAGUAGCAUAUUAUUCAUGUUAUUUUCAUAGUAUGGAAUAUUUACAAGAAAAAUUGUUACAAAAUUGGGUCAAAAUUGCAUUGUGGAGAGAACUUAUUGAUUUAUAUCAAUAAGUGAUUUAUAUCAAUAAGUCACUUGUUUUAUUAGGCCUACAUUCAGAAAUAACAUAAAAUACAGAAACAUUUACAAGCAUUACAAGCACCAUAAAUUUGUAUUUUAGUUCUCCUCACUCCACAACAAAUCCUUUAAAGGGGUCAUAUGAUGCGAUUUCAUGUUUUCCUUUGUCUUUGGAGUGUUACAAGCUGUUGGUGCAUAAAUAACAUCAGUAUAAAGUUGCAAAGACUACAGUCUCAAACCCAAAGAGAUAUUCUUUCUAAAAGUUAAGACUCGUCCACGCCCUCCUGAACAUGUCUACGUCUCGAUGUGGGAAGGUUUGCAUAACACCACCCAAAUGUUUACGCAAAGAAAGUAGUCAUAACUUUUAUUCUCGCUGGCUGUAGUAUUGUUGCCGCCGCCGUGUCGUGGAGACACUGUGUAUUUACAAAUAUGUUAAGGGGCGUAACAUUUCUGUCACACGCUUGAGGUAUUCGGCCAAUCACAAAGCACUGGAUAGCUGGCCAAUCACAGCACACCUCGCUUUUCAGAGCAAUGAGCUUUGUAAAAAUCAACACGUUUCAGAAAGACGGGGCAUAGAGGAGCAACAAUAAUGUACAGUAUGUGGAAAAUAAUGUUUUUGAACCAUAAACUGUGUUAACACAUUGCAUUACACCAAAUACACAAAUUAAUGGCAUUUUUAGCAGCCUCAUAUGUUGUGUGUAUGUGUACACAACAACAAUGUACUAAAACUGGAAAAGUUUUUCCUUUCUAUUUUUCACGCACAGGUAACAGCGUUGUCAAAAAUAUCCCUUUUCACACUGAUCCACAAAAACAAAUAAAACAUUGUAUUUUGCAUGCCAGGCCAGUAGUCACUUUGGAGAGAAACACUAUGCGAAUACCUAAUACACAUGUGCUUUUUUGUAGUUUACACAGGGACGAUAAUGGUAUAGUUUUAAAAAACUUGCACUUUGAAACCCAUUUUCAUAAAAAUUGCAUUUUCAGGUUGCUGUGUAAAUGAACAGCCAAAAUGCAUAAAACUCUUUAUUUUUUAAACACUGUCAUGUAAACACCCCCUAAAUUUCAGAACAGACCAGGAAUGUAAAGCAUAAAGCAAAGAAAAAUGAUAUUAUAAUGAUAUGCAUUAUAAACAACAUUAGUUAUAAACAGCAAGCCUAAACAAAAUUAUUUAAAGCAGAACUGAAUAUCGACUCAUCAGGAAUAAACUACAGAAAAUAUCUCGUGCUCCAGUAGUGCUCUCAUUCGGCAAGUGCUUGACGUUAACUGCCACAUUAAGUCGCAGCACAUUUCAGAUGAUAGAAAAAUGACUUAUAUUCCAAAAAUACUUUGCGCAAUGUGUGAAUUUUCAGUAGGCAUAGAAUAUUACAUUUUGCCCGAAUCUCCUUCCUUCGCUCACUUACUGACAAAGUGUUUCUGCACAAAUGUUUUAAUCCUAUAAACCUGUUCACAUUAUAAACACAGUAUAUAGGCAAAGCACUAAACACUCUUCAUGCAUACUAGCAAUACCAUCCCAAUCAUAACCUAUACUUUCUGAUGUAGAAAUAGGUUUUGCUCAGACACAGUCUCACAGGAAUUCAUAACUAUUUUGGUGAUUUGGUGGGUAAAUCAUAUGAAUUCUUACAAUCUCUUUUGUUUUCACACAACCCAGUGACAGUGAAUUCUAAAGGGGGACCUUCAUACCUCCCACAUUUUUGUAGAUUGUACCUUGUACAAAUGGCUAUGAAGUGACCACCUCGUUUCUGGUGAGAUCAGGUUGGUUUUGCUCCCCGAUACUGAUCCUCAUGACAGAACAGUAAUAAACGUGAUGCACAGGCUCUCCAGCACUGCAGUCUCUGCAGCGGAGCGGGAUGAGGGUGCACGGUUUGUUGAGGAGCAGGAGGAGUUUCAGGGCUGUUAUUUUUCUCACGUCACACAGAGAGGGACUCGUGGAGAAAUCUAAUGUUUGUUUGCUAAACAGUAGCAUGUACCCUGCAGAGGAAGCACUGAUAUCAGACGUUUAUCAGGCAAAAUUGUGUCAGCCAAAACAUAUGUGCAAAACAUUUCUGUAUUAAUCAUUUCUAAACCCAAUUUUAAAGUUUUUGCAUAAGAAUUGUUUUAUAAACAGAAAUUCAUUCUACUUGUGUUUAAUAAAUGAGGCCUAUCAUCCUUUUACAUAUAUAUUUGAGUGCUUUUUCAGUGAAUAUUUUGUGAAAUAAGUUUCAGUUGAUUUUUUACAGGCAUGUAUAUGUCUCAUUUAGUAUCAUUUAUUUAUUAUAUUGAUUUUAAAAUGAAAUGAACCACCAUAUUCUCUUGAUUGCUUAAUAUCAAGGUCGGAAACAGCUGAU
ensembl:lncRNA